GUCUCAUCCUGUGACUUAGAAUGCCUAACCAUCUGGGAAUGCAGCCCAGUAGAUCUCAGCCUCAUUUUACCAAGCCCCUAUUCAAGAUAGAGUUACUCUGUGUGGUUCCUAUGC